rnacentral:piRNA from 1 species
UGAGACAAAACAGUCUACGUGAGAGGGG